UAGUCCACGCCGUAAACGAUGAGAACUAGCCGUUGGGCCUAUUAAAAGGUUUAGUGGCGAAGCUAACGCGAUAAGUUCUCCGCCUGGGGAGUACGGCCGCAAGGUUAAAACUCAAAUGAAUUGACGGGGGCCCGCACAAGCGGUGGAGCAUGUGGUUUAAUUCGAUGCAACGCGAAGAACCUUACCACCCCUUGACAUCCUCAGAAUUUGUCAGAGAUGACUUAGUGCCUUCGGGAACUGAGAGACAGGUGCUGCAUGGCUGUCGUCAGCUCGUGUUGUGAAAUGUUGGGUUAAGUCCCGUAACGAGCGCAACCCUUAUCCCUAGUUGCUAGCGGUUCGGCCGAGAACUCUAGGGAGACUGCCGGUGACAAACCGGAGGAAGGUGGGGACGACGUCAAGUCAUCAUGGCCCUUACGGGGUGGGCUACACACGUGCUACAAUGGUAAGUACAAAGGGCAGCUAAGCCGCGAGGUGGCGCGAAUCCCAUAAAGCUUAUCGUAGUCCGGAUUGGAGUCUGCAACUCGACUCCA
rnacentral:rRNA from 1 species